UAGGGAAUCUUCGGCAAUGGACGAAAGUCUGACCGAGCAACGCCGCGUGAGUGAAGAAGGUUUUCGGAUCGUAAAACUCUGUUGUUAGAGAAGAACAAGGACGUUAGUAACUGAACGUCCCCUGACGGUAUCUAACCAGAAAGCCACGGCUAACUACGUGCCAGCAGCCGCGGUAAUACGUAGGUGGCAAGCGUUGUCCGGCUCUAUUGGGCGUAAAGCGAGCGCAGGCGGUUUCUUAAGUCUGAUGUGAAAGCCCCCGGCUCAACCGGGGAGGGUCAUUGGAAACUGCGAGACUUGAGUUCAGAAAAGGAGAGUGGAAGUCCAUGUGUGGCGGUGAAAUGCGUAGAUAUAUGGAGAAACACCAGUGGCGAAGGCGGCUCUCUGGUCUGUAACUGACGCUGAGGCUCGAAAGCGUGGGGAGCAAACAGG
rnacentral:rRNA from 1 species